rnacentral:rRNA from 1 species
AGGAUCGACUAACUCCGUGCCAGCAGCCGCGGUAAUAYGGAGGAUGCGAGCGUUAUCCGGAUUUAUUGGGUNUAAAGGGUGCGCAGGCGGCUCUNUUAAGUCGGCGGUGAAAUUUKGCAGCUCAACYGUAVAAGUGCCUUCGAUACYGGCUUCCUUGAGUGUGGAYGAAGUAGGCGGAAUGUGUGGUGUAGCGGUGAAAUGCUUAGAUAUCACGCGGAACUCCGAUUGCGCAGGCAGCUUACUAAACCAUUACUGACGSUCAUGCAMGAAGGCGUGGGGAUCAAACAGGAUUAGAUACCCUGGUAGUCCC